GAUGAACGCUGACAGAAUGCUUAACACAUGCAAGUCAACUUGAAUUUGGGUUUUUAACUUAGAUUUGGGUGGCGGACGGGUGAGUAACGCGUAAAGAACUUGCCUCACAGCUAGGGACAACAUUUAGAAAUGAAUGCUAAUACCUGAUAUUAUGAUUUUAAGGCAUCUUAGAAUUAUGAAAGCUAUAAGCACUGUGAGAGAGCUUUGCGUCCCAUUAGCUAGUUGGAGAGGUAACAGCUCACCAAGGCGAUGAUGGGUAGCCGGCCUGAGAGGGUGAACGGCCACAAGGGGACUGAGACACGGCCCUUACUCCUACGGGAGGCAGCAGUGGGGAAUAUUGGACAAUGGACCGAGAGUCUGAUCCAGCAAUUCUGUGUGCACGAUGAAGUUUUUCGGAAUGUAAAGUGCUUUCAGUUGGGAAGAAACAAAUGACGGUACCAACAGAAGAAGUGACGGCUAAAUACGUGCCAGCAGCCGCGGUAAUACGUAUGUCACGAGCGUUAUCCGGAUUUAUUGGGCGUAAAGCGCGUCUAGGUGGUUAUGUAAGUCUGAUGUGAAAAUGCGGGGCUCAACUCUGUAUUGCGUUGGAGACUGUAUAACUAGAGUACUGGAGAGGUAAGCGGAACUACGAGUGUAGAGGUGAAAUUCUAGAUAUUUGUAGGAAUGGCCGAUGGGGGAAGCCAACUUUACUGACAAAUACUACGCUAAGCUCGAGGCGUGGGGUAGCAACAGG
rnacentral:rRNA from 1 species